GGUGCUUGUCAAGACCGAGGCUGUAAUGAUAUUCUGGGCAAAAUGGAGCUUCAGUAAGAAGUGGAGUAUCUGCUCCGGUCUGGCUUCGUGUGACCUCACAUGGUGAAUAGUGGAUAAUGAGCCGAAAUAGCCACCCUGUCAGGCACGUUUGAAGUGCAAAUUGUUGGCAGACAGCUUCCCUUUGAACCUUCGAAGUCACCUCACCAAUUCUUUAAUGGAGCAGUGACAGGGUGACCUCUCAACCCACUGACUGGGGUCAAAGUUUGCUCCCUCACUGUUCACUCUCCAAGGCCAUAACCCUGAGAGGAAAUGACCGCAUAAUGCAUGCAGUUAUAGAUCUGGACUGAGGACGGCUGUGCAUGCUGAUAAAGUGAUUGCAGUAUUUCAUUACAUAACUCUCAGACACCGGCAGCAAUGAAGAUGAAGAAUUAUAUUUUGGGACCUUCCAACACACUAUAAAGAGCAUAUGUGUGUGUGAGUGUGUACACUAAAGUGUGUGUAUGUGUGAGGAAUGCUCCAGGCACUUUAAGACAGUAAUCACUCAACAGUUGAGACAUGGUGUGCUGAGGUGAACCUAUCUACCCAUUUCAAGGUUUGACCUUGUGUUUGCAUACGCACGUACACGCAUGUAUCCCUGAGUGUUUCGGGAGCAGCGUGUGUUUAGGUUUGAUAAAUGUGUCUGUCUGGGAGCUCUUUAAAUCACUCUGCAUGUGCUUCACUGAGUUGUUGUUUUCAAUCUUGCCUAAAAAGAAAAUAAGAAAGUGCUCAUGCAAAUCCAUAAUCAGUGCUAUAUAUACAUUAUAUAUGACCAAAAGUAUAUGCUGACCUGAUCAUCAUACCCACAUGUGGUCCUUUCUCAUGUUCUAUGUGAGCAUACAGUUGGAUAGAAAAUAAAGGAGGUGGUAGCUUAGUGGUUAAGGCAUUGAUUCGAAGUCCUAGCCACACCAAGAUGCCACUUUUGGGUCCCUGAGCAAGGCUCUUAUCCGCAUAGCUGCUCAGUUGAUAAAUGAAAAUGUAAUGUAAAUCUGUUUGUAAUUUAUGCCAUUUUGCAAACGCCUGAUUCAGGGCGACUUACAUUUAUCAGAGCAGUUGAGAGUAACUGGCCUUGCUCAAGGGCCCAUCAGCGAUACUAGGAUUUUAAUUAAUGACCUUCUGAUUAGAGGGACAACAUCUUUACCACUGAGCUACUGACCUCCCUGGAAGUGAGUGUCCCUUCACUGGAUCUAAGGGGCCCUAAUAUGCUCCAGCAUGACAAUGCUCCUGUCCGCAAAGUGAGCUCUAUGAAAACAUGACUUGUCAAAGUUAGAAUAAAAGAUUUUAAAUGAAGUGAAGUGAAGUGAAGUGAAGUGAAGCUGUUCUGAACAGCUCUCAAAUAAACUGUACACCAGCUCUCUUCAUGUGACAUCAGUGCCUGAUUUCACUAAUGCUCUUAUUGUUCAAUGAGCACAAAUCCCAACAAGGAUACACUUAUGGAAAGCCUUUCCCAAACAGUAGAAGAUUGUUUGGUUUUACAAUAACACCAAAGAGUUGACUUAAUCUGGAAUGGGAUGUACAACAUUUGGUCUCCUAGGAUAUCCACAAUGUUUGCCCAUAUAGUCCCUUAUAUACAAUAUGAAGUUGUUUUCAUAAUUGAUAUUCAGUGCAUGUUCUCAUAUAACCGAUACUAACAGCGUUUAAUGAGAGCCUCUGAGAGACUCGUGUCUUCCAGCAUUUAUUUUAUAUUCAUUUCAUAUUGUAAAUUGUUUUUCAACUUCUUUUUAUUGUGUUGAACCUUUAUUUAAUCGUUACCUCCGGUCUUCUUCGCAAUAAGUAUUAUAAAAAGGGAACAAUUCUAGCUGUUGUGACAUGGUAGACAUUUUGCUGCCAUUGUUAGGCUUCUCAUACCCCUCACAUUUUCUAUUAUGGAUUUUACAGCCACAAAAACACAACCUGACUGAACAUCUGUUUGAGUAUUUGGAUAGAUUUUUAGACAGCACUAAACCACAAACAUCACUAUUUGAGUU